rnacentral:piRNA from 1 species
UAUUUGGAACAAUGGCAAGCAUAGUAGGU